rnacentral:lncRNA from 1 species
GUUACCAAUUCUAUUUUAUUUUAGGAAAUGCAAAGAAAAAAAAAAUCCAACAUCUUUGAUUGAAACCUUCUGCCUGCUCUGACGAACAUGGACUGCUGCACACUACAGAGGUUCCUCAGUUUCCACAGAGAGGAUUUAAGACUACCAUUAGAAUUUUUGUGACUUGCUCUCUCCUAAGAAUUUCCCUAAGAAAUAAUUUCAUAACCAUCAUCACCCCUGAGGGGGGUCUACCAGGGAUUAGUAGCUUUGUUUUGCCUCUGGUAUUAAAUCGAAUCAUUU